UGUAUUAUUAGUUAAUGCAAGAUCGACUACGUCGACUAAAGUUCUAGGUAGAAUAAUGAUGAUGACAAUUUUUUACCUAUAUGUCUUGACCAAGUCUCGUGCCAGCAGUCGCGGUAAUACGUGGAAGACUAGUGUUAUUCAUCUUUAUUAGGUUUAAAGGGUACCUAGACGGUAUUUCUAGCCCAAAAUAGGGUACGGAUUUACUAGAGUUUUAUGUGAGGAGGGGAGUACUCGUAGAGUAGAGAUGAAAUUUUGUUAUACUAUGAGGUAACUGGUGGCGGCGAAAGCAACCUUCUAUGUAUAAACUGACGUUGAGGGACGAAGGCUUGGGUAGCAAAUAGGAUUAGAUACCCUAGUAGUCCAAGCAGACAAUUCUGAAUGCCAUAGAUUAGAUUAUUUUUGGUCUAUAAAUGAAAGUGUAAGCAUUCCACCUUAGGAGUAAUGUGGCAACACAGGAACUGAAAUCAUUAGACCGUUUCUGAAACCAGUAGUGAAGUAUGUUAUUUAAAUUGAUGGUCCACAAAAAACCUUACCACAACUUGAAUAUUUUUAAUUAAUACAAGCGUUGCACGGCUGUCUUCAGUUAAUGUCGUGAGAUUUUGGUUAACUCCAUUAAUUAAC
rnacentral:rRNA from 1 species